CGCGUAGGUGGUUCGUUAAGUUGGAUGUGAAAUCCCCGGGCUCAACCUGGAACUGCAUUCAAAACUGUCGAGCUAGAGUAUGGUAGAGGGUGGUGGAAUUUCCUGUGUAGCGGUGAAAUGCGUAGAUAUAGGAAGGAACACCAGUGGCGAAGGCGACCACCUGGACUGAUACUGACACUGAGGUGCGAAAGCGUGGGGAGCAAACA
rnacentral:rRNA from 1 species